rnacentral:lncRNA from 1 species
UGAUGAUUUUGAAUAGGGAUUAUUUAAUUUACAGAGUCGCCACUUGAAAUUAAGUUAUGGUAUUCCUAGUCACCUUAUUGAAUCCCUAAUCAAAAGGAAAUGACUCUCUGUUGGUCUGCGAAAACAGAAGAUCGAGUAAAGAAUUCCGUUGACCGAGGGAAAGGUGUGAUGCACCCCUCGAGUCCCGUGAUUCUAGCACGGUCACUUUAUUGACUAAUACUUGACUUAAACUGUUUUGGAUAGAUUAUGUUUGUAGGCCUUAUUAGCGCACUUUAUCUAGAAGGAUCCCAAGUCCAGAGGAUUAUGGUGCAUAGAGAGAGAAAUAUAAUAAAAUAAUAUUUUAAAAUAUAUAAAUAAAAUUAAAAUUAAACCAGGUUCACUGUUAAAUGCCUGAACAUACAUAAUACUAUUAUGAUUACGGUGAAGUUGUAAAAAAUAGUUCCACUGGCAGUGGACACAAGUUAAUCUCAUCGAGUUGGGUAAUUUAACCAUUAACAAAAUCUAAGAUUCUGUCAGCCAUCAUGUUGGUUAGCAUCGAGUCCCAAAUCCAAAAUGUUGUAAUGGUCUUAUGAAGUCCUUUAAUGGAAUUUUGUUUAUGUCAUCAUUUUGUGUCCUUCUCUUCUUAUAGGUCUCACAUGAAUCAGAGUUCGUUGGUGCCAUGCGAAAGCAUGAGCAUGAGUAGAACGUGUAACUCAUCAGCCAAAAUACAAAGAACAACGAUGUUCUUGAGCAUAAAAUGAACUUCAACAUGAACUAGAUCAUUAUAGCUCGAUGGGUAGAGUCCUAAAAAACACAGAUAAGUCCCCUAAUGAUGAUGAUGGAGGAGGGUGACAAGUGAUCUUAGUUUUUUUAAUUGUUUUAGACAAAAAAAGUUGCUAUUUUCCUAAAAAUAGACAAUUUAACUUUUGCAAGCACUGGUAUAAAGGAUCUUGGCAAGACUUCUCUCAUGUUAAUUAGGAAUUAAGUCUAUAUACGAUACUCGUGUCUUACGUAUUCAUAGUUUCUCUAAUAUUAUCUUGGCAAGACUUUUCAAUUGACCUUUCAGAUUGUUUACAUACUUUAAUCUGAUAAAUUUCUUCUGUUAAUUAGGAAUAAGUCUUAUCAUAUCUGACUAACGGAAACGGCAAGGCCGACCUUCUAAAAUCACUUUGAUCGCAAGAAGUGCAAUUGCGUUUUAA